GAUGAACGCUGGCGGCGUGCCUAAUACAUGCAAGUCGAGCGAACAGAUAAGGAGCUUGCUCCUUUGACGUUAGCGGCGGACGGGUGAGUAACACGUGGAUAACCUACCUAUAAGACUGGGAUAACUUCGGGAAACCGGAGCUAAUACCGGAUAACAUAUUGAACCGCAUGGUUCAAUAGUGAAAGGCGGCUUUGCUGUCACUUAUAGAUGGAUCCGCGCCGUAUUAGCUAGUUGGUAAGGUAACGGCUUACCAAGGCAACGAUACGUAGCCGACCUGAGAGGGUGAUCGGCCACACUGGAACUGAGACACGGUCCAGACUCCUACGGGAGGCAGCAGUAGGGAAUCUUCCGCAAUGGGCGAAAGCCUGACGGAGCAACGCCGCGUGAGUGAUGAAGGUCUUCGGAUCGUAAAACUCUGUUAUCAGGGAAGAACAAAUGUGUAAGUAACUGUGCACAUCUUGACGGUACCUGAUCAGAAAGCCACGGCUAACUACGUGCCAGCAGCCGCGGUAAUACGUAGGUGGCAAGCGUUAUCCGGAAUUAUUGGGCGUAAAGCGCGCGUAGGCGGUUUUUUAAUUCUGAUGUGAAAGCCCCACGGCGUCACCGUGGAGGGUCAUUGGAAACUGGAAAACUUGAGUGCAGAAGAGGAAAGUGGAAUUCCAUGUGUAGCGGUGAAAUGGGCAGAGAUAUGGAGGAACACCAGUGGCGAAGGCGACUCUCUGGUCUGUAACUGACGCUGAUGUGCGAAAGCGUGGGGAUCAAACAGGAUUAGAUACCCUGGUAGUCCACGCCGUAAACGAUGAGUGCUAAGUGUUAGGGGGUUUCCGCCCCUUAGUGCUGCAGCUAACGCAUUAAGCACUCCGCCUGGGGAGUACGACCGCAAGGUUGAAACUCAAAGGAAUUGACGGGGACCCGCACAAGCGGUGGAGCAUGUGGUUUAAUUCGAAGCAACGCGAAGAACCUUACCAAAUCUUGACAUCCUUUGACCGCUCUAGAGAUAGAGUCUUCCCCUUCGGGGGACAAAGUGACAGGUGGUGCAUGGUUGUCGUCAGCUCGUGUCGUGAGAUGUUGGGUUAAGUCCCGCAACGAGCGCAACCCUUAAGCUUAGUUGCCAUCAUUAAGUUGGGCACUCUAAGUUGACUGCCGGUGACAAACCGGAGGAAGGUGGGGAUGACGUCAAAUCAUCAUGCCCCUUAUGAUUUGGGCUACACACGUGCUACAAUGGACAAUACAAAGGGCAGCUAAACCGCGAGGUCAAGCAAAUCCCAUAAAGUUGUUCUCAGUUCGGAUUGUAGUCUGCAACUCGACUACAUGAAGCUGGAAUCGCUAGUAAUCGUAGAUCAGCAUGCUACGGUGAAUACGUUCCCGGGUCU
rnacentral:rRNA from 1 species